rnacentral:tRNA from 1 species
AGGGUUAUAUUUAAUAAUAAUAUUCAAAUUGCAAAUGAAAGGUGUUUAAAAACUAACCUUU